GUGCUAGCUGGAGGUCACAAAAGGUGAUGAGGGACAGCUGGGGCUGGCCAGUCCUGGGGGUGUGAGUUGCAUCUUAUUAACAGGCUUUCUGAGGAGUGUGUAGUUGUCAGCUCUUCUAAUCUGUUAAGUGAAGGUUUUAAGAGGCAUGGAUAUUAGUACUACUUGUUUUCCUCCUGGAGAAGGGAGAGAAGUGCAAGCUGUCCUUACCUGGGAGGCAAAGCGCUUCCAUGCCUGUUUCAGGCACUGGCUGUACAACUUGGGGCCACUCUAGUGCUGGUGUGGCUGGAAUAACUGCAGUGCAGCAUUAGCAGCCACAGGAAAACAGAGCUGUACUUGCUGCUGCCCUUUGCUGUGUAUGGAAAGUAGCAGCUUUAACCAAUGGAGUGUCAAUUGAGCUGAGAAGAAUAUAAAGGAUCUGCUCUUUCAUGUACGAUGCAUAUGUCAUAAAGCAUGCUGCAGUCCUGUAUAUACUCCCUUGGCCCUUUGACCAGUGCAACCAGGAGACAGUUUAUGGAAGAAUUGCCUUACACUUAAGGAGGAAAGGAAGUGAAAUACUGAUACUAAGGAACUCAGUUGCUUGGAGACCUGCAUCUUGUUAUCUGUGCUGAAAGCCAGUUCCCUGUGAAGAAAGAAUGAAGUGGUAUCAGCAGUUUUCAUACGCAUGUAUUUACUUUUUGUGGACACCCAUUUUUCCCAUUUCUUAAAGUUCCCAUAAUAAUAUAAACAUCUCAGAGUAUUAGAGUGAAAUACUCAGAGUAUUAGGGUGCAAUGGAAAGAACUAAAGUUAUGAAACAUCCCCUAAAAUUAAAGAACUAAUAGGUUUUUUUGAGCCCUGAAGAUAUAUACAUUAACCUCUGAGGAGAAGAUCAGUCUUUCCCUCUGAAGUUGAGAGAAAACCUUUCUUCAUCUUUAAAAACUGAAUGGUGCUUUUCACCAUAAUAUUCUGAAAUGUAUACAUGUAUAUUGUUAGUGCUAUGUGGCUAGCUUGCAUUCCAGAAUUGUGCAUUUUUUUACUGCACAGUAAAUUUAAGGCAAACUAACCUGUUUAGAGCCUGCAGUGUAAAAAAUAUAUAAUUAUUUACAUUCCACAUUUGCAUUAAUUGCUAACAAACAAACUGUUCUUUGAAGUACAAGGUCAGGCUAAUGGUGAAACUAGUUAGGUAUCUAAUUGUGCAUAUCGUUUUGCAGAUACACUUCAGCAGCAUAGUAUAGUCUAAAUAUAUAUCAUUUAUCUCUGUGUAAAUUCUUAAACCAUUGUGAAAAUAUUGCUGUGUAAUGAUUUAAUUCACUAUAAUUAUUAUGUAUCUAUUUACAAUCUUAUUUUGUCUGCAUCUAAUAUAUAAAGACACAAAUUCGAAGUCAAAUGGAAUGAAAGAAGAUAAUCUUUUCAUGGCUCCCAGGUUGGCACCUCUUCCAGUA